AUUGAACGCUGGCGGCAUGCUUUACACAUGCAAGUCGAACGGCAGCGCGGGCUUCGGCCUGGCGGCGAGUGGCGAACGGGUGAGUAAUGCAUCGGAACGUGCCCAGUAGUGGGGGAUAGCCCGGCGAAAGCCGGAUUAAUACCGCAUACGACCUGAGGGUGAAAGCGGGGGACCGAAAGGCCUCGCGCUAUUGGAGCGGCCGAUGUCGGAUUAGCUAGUUGGUGGGGUAAAGGCUUACCAAGGCGACGAUCCGUAGCUGGUCUGAGAGGACGACCAGCCACACUGGGACUGAGACACGGCCCAGACUCCUACGGGAGGCAGCAGUGGGGAAUUUUGGACAAUGGGGGCAACCCUGAUCCAGCCAUGCCGCGUGCGGGAAGAAGGCCUUCGGGUUGUAAACCGCUUUUGUUCGGGAAGAAAUCCUCUGGGCUAAUACCCCGGGUGGAUGACGGUACCGGAAGAAUAAGCACCGGCUAACUACGUG
rnacentral:rRNA from 1 species